rnacentral:piRNA from 1 species
UAAGCAAAGGUGGCCACAUCUCACUGUGU